CAGCCCUCCCCCGCUCCCAACGCAGGCACUCGGCCGCUGCCGCGUACCGCCGGUGACAGCAGCGGCUCAGCCCUCGGCCCCCGCCGGGGGAGAGAUAACCUUUGGUCUCGUUGCAGCAGCUGGGAAGGAGGGAGAGGUGCUCUCUCUCAGGGGAUUUUUUGACAUACCGUGAACAAGUAAAAGUAUACCAAGAUACGGCUGAGAGGGUUUGGAGCCCAGCAGCUUAAGCAACAACGGUUUGUAGAGAGAGGCCAUCCUUAUUGGUCCUACAGCAGACAGUCUUUCUCCUGAUGAGCACAGCUCGUUACUGCCAUAAGCAUUUCAGCAUAGGAAAUAUUUAUGUUUCACUCAACAACAAAAGCAGAACAGCCCAAAAUUUGAAGUUCCCAUUGUGGUGGGGAGAAGCAAUGAUCCUGCAAAGCCCCGAUGGUAAGGAGCAUUCGUGACCACGCGGCACGGUGAGGGACAGCAGAGAAGAGGGAAGGAAUGAAAGUGAAAAUAAAAACUUCUGCCAAAGGUAAGACUGAAGAAGUACACACAAGUAGACUAAACACAAUGAGAAAGCACUGUUAUAUCUGGCCUCCUGCUUAAAUAAGCUCUUCCCUCUGUCUUCCUCCAGUUCUUGGAAGCCAUCGAGCUGUGCCCAGAGCUCACUUCCUCUGUCUCUGUCCUCAACUUGUGUCCUCUUCUGUUUCCUCUUCGCAUUCUCUCUGGUGCAUCUGAAAGUGCGCCAGUUGCAGAGAGAACAUGGACCAUAUCACCUCACACAGUUACCCACACUUUACUGCUUGAUAAGGAGGGAGAGGACAUCUCCUCAGUUUGCUGUGGCAACAUACUACCAAGAAUUCAUUUUGAUUCUGCACAAGUGUCUUUCAAAAAUUGGAAGCACAAAUUUUUUGCUUGCAAAUAACUAAAAAGUCCUCCUGUGUGCAUGGCAUUUAUCUUCCUCAGAUAACACUUGGAGGAUCUCCCAAGGACUUUGGGGUUAGGGUUUGAUGCAAGACAACUUAAUAACCUCUUAAUCUUUGCAAUAUCUCUUUUGCUGGUUAAGUGAUUGAUUUAACACUAUUUUAUGGAUAUAAACAAGUAAUAUCUGUGUACACUGUAAUG